rnacentral:tRNA from 1 species
AAGGAGAUAGCUUAAAGGUAAAGCUCUGUUCUUUGCCAGCAGAAACAAAAUAAAGGUUCAACUCCUUUUCUCCUUA